rnacentral:lncRNA from 1 species
GAAGAACUUUUCGUUUCGUCUCAAUCGGAGUUUCCGUUGAGAUUUUACGACAAAAACAAGUAGGACUCUUCUCGGCUUGCUUCCACUCGCUACGUAGCGACCUGUCAGACUGUCAGUCGCUACGUACCGACCUGUAAGGCCUCAGAAAGGUCCUCCUUUGGGCUCUCUUUUGAAUCCUCGUCGAAACACUUUUUGUUUCGUCUCAAUCGGAGUUUCCGUUGAGAUUUUACGACGAAAACAAGUAGGACUCUUCUUGGCUUGCUUCCACUCGCUACGUAGCGACCUGUCAGACUGUCAGUCGCUACGUAGCGACCUGUAAGGCCUCAGAAAGGUCCUCCUUUGGGUUCUCUUUUGAAUCCUCGUCGAAAUGCUUUUCGUUUUGUCUCAAACGGAGUUUCCGUUGAGAUUUUACGACGAAAACAAGUAGGACUCUUCUCGGCUUGCUUCCACUCGCUACGUAGCGACCUGUCAGACUGUCAGCCGCUACGUAGCGACCUGUAAGGCCUCAGAAAGGUCCUCCUUUGGGUUCUCUUUUGAAUCCUCGUCGAAGCACUUUUCGUUUCGUCUCAAUCGGAGUUUCCGUUGAGAUUUUACGACAAAAACAAGUAGGACUCUUCUCGGCUUGCUUCCACUCGCUACGUAGCGACCUGUCAGACUGUCAGUCGCUACGUAGCGACCUGUAAGGCCUCAGAAAGGUCCUCCUUUGGGCUCUCUUUUGAAUCCUCGUCGAAACACUUUUUGUUUCGUCUCAAUCGGAGUUUCCGUUGAGAUUUUACGACGAAAACAAGUAGGACUCUUCUUGGCUUGCUUCCACUCGCUACUUAGCGACCUGUCAUACUGUCAGUCGCUACGUAGCGACCUGUAAGGCCUCAGAAAGGUCCUCCUUUGGGUUCUCUUUUGAAUCCUCGUCGAAACGCUUUUUGUUUCGUCUCAAUCGGAGUUUCCGUUGAGAUUUUACCACGAAAACAAGUAGGACGCUUCUCGGCUUGCUUCCACUCGCUACGUAGCGACCUGUCAGACUGUCAGUCGCUACGUAGCGACCUGUAAGGCCUCAGAAAGAUCCUCCUUUGGGUUGUCUUUUGAAUCCUCAUCGAAACGCUUUUCGUUUCGUCUCAAUCGGAGUUUCCGUCGAGAUUUUACGACGAAAACAAGUAGGACUCUUCUCGGCUUGCUUCCACUCGCUACGUAGCGACCUGUCAGACUGUCAGUCGCUACGUAGCGACCUGUAAGGCCUCAGAAAGGUCCUCCUUUGGGUUCUAUUUUGAAUCCUCGUCGAAACGCUUUUCGUUUCGUCUCAAUCGGAGUUUCCGUUGAGAUUUUACGACGAAAACAAGUAGGACUCUUCUCGGCUUGCUUCCACUCGCUACGUUGCGACCUGUCAGACUGUCAGUCGCUACGUAGCGACCUGUAAGGCCUCAGAAAGGUCCUCCUUUGGGUUCUCUUUUGAAUCCUCGUCGAAACGCUUUUUGUUUCGUCUCAAUCGGAGUUUCCGUUGAGAUUUUACGACGAAAACAAGUAGGACGCUUCUCGGCUUGCUUCCACUCGCUACGUAGCGACCUGUCAGACUGUCAGUCGCUACGUAGCAACCUGUAAGCCUCAGAAAGGUCCUCCUUUGGGUUGUCUUUUGAAUCCUCAUCGAAACGCUUUUCGUUUCGUCUCAAUCGUAGUUUCCGUCGAGAAUUUACGACGAAAACAAGUUGGACUCGUCUUGGCUCCCUUCCACUCGCUAUAGCGACCGAGAUGACAUCCUCACUCGCUAUAGCGACCUGUCAGGCCUCAAAGGGUCCUCCUUUGCGUUCUCCUUUGAAUCCUCAUCGAAACGCUUUUCGUUUCGUCUCAAUCGGAGUUUCCGUUGGGAUUGUACGACAAAAACAAGUAAAACUCAUCUUAAACUCCUUGGCUUGUUCCUGCUCGCCCUACCUCCAUAUUUGCGUUCACUUUCGAAUCUCGAUCGAAACGUCUCUUGUUUCGCCGCGAUUGAAGUUACCAUUGAGACUUUAUGAUCUAAAAAAAACCCGCAAAGACUUGUUUUCUCGCAUGGAUUCAGAUAAAUCGUAUAAAACAGCAACGGUUAACUUAACACCUUAGCCGCCUUAACUAUACGAUUACGUUGAACCUUUUUACAAAAAUCGACGUCUUAUCUAAGGAGAAGAUAACAGUCAAGUUCGGAAGAUAAAUGUCAAGUUUCAAAGGAUAAACACCAAUAUCGGAAAUGGCGAACAUACACGAGAAUAGGAAACGGAAAUGAGCACGCAAAACUGAGAAGGGACAAAACUGCAUCUUCGAGAGAACUCAGAUCUUGCAAACCGAUCUAAACUCUCCGAAAGUCGAGAAACGAUCGCCACGCAUAUCAAGCUCGCUUCCUAAAGAGAGAAAAAGUUAGAGACAUGAACGUCGUCUUAAAACCGAUUCGUUUCUGGCAAUUUUCUCGGAACCGACAUAUCCCAAGUCGUCAACGUGGAAACACCCAAAUCACAGUCCAAGCGUCGUCUAUAAAUCGUCCCGAAUUAUCGAUCAUUCCAAACAUCAGAAGAGGAAACGUACACAACCCUUCAAAGUAUCGGUUCAACCGUUUUCUUUCGUAAAAAAAAAAAGGGAGAGUAGGUACGUAUACUAUACUUGUAUACUCCCAAACUUCAAAAAAACUUCUGCAAAUCGUCAAGAAUAGGCAAACGACAAUCUUAAUAUUCGUCUAAAACGCUAGAAACAUAUCCAGACGAUGUUGAACAUAAUCUCAAAAACUAUACAUCAUUUCUUAUCGCAAUCAUGCGUACGGAAAACUUGUACCAAUAUCAAACUGAAACUCGACGAUUAGCCAAAGUGAAGUGAUCUUUGGUGAGAUGAUCACGUCCCUGAAUGUUCUCCAAUGAUUGUGAUGUUAUUUCAUAAGCAGUGGAUUGAGUGAUACUUCUAAGAGUUGCGGAAUGACUCUUGGACUAUCAAGGGUUUGCUUGCAAGGUAAGGAUCAAGGAUCCGAAAUACACUUAGAACAAGCUUGAUCAAACAAGAUUCAGAGAGAAUUUUUAUUAGAAAAGAGUUUGAUGAUUUUAUUGAGAGUUUUGAUCAGAAUAUAAAGAGAAGAAGACUGUACAUGCACAGCUUCUUGGAAACACACAAAACAAUUAAAACAAAGACUAAGUUUAAAUUUGAAAAUAAGAAAAGGCUCCUGGUUUCUUCAUGCACGAAAUUAGGGGAAAUGGGCCUGGUUCAGGCUUAGUUUCAUCAAGAGGCUCAUGUAUAAGUGUUGUGUCCAAGCCUCAUUAAAAACCUUGUUUGGAAAACCCAUUGGGACAAAACCAAACUAAGGAAAAGAGUGCAAGUCACAACACCUCUCUUGAUGAUUGUCUUAGAUGGCUUGAAUCACAACCAGAGUGGUUGGAUAAGCACACUCUAGACUGCCAUGGAUAGUGUGAAGUAGUUGAUGAAGAGCUUGUCGAAAUCUUGCUUGCUUUGAUCUUGUCAUUGGACCAAUAGGUACUUCUAGGUCCUUCUCAUUUGUUUCUUCAGGUUCAAGCAGAUCCCUGGUUCUUUCUUCAACUUCCUUAAGCUCUGGUUCAAGCUGAUCCAUCUCUUCAGUUCCAUUGCUAGCCAAGAUCACAUCAUCCUCUCCCACUUGAGAAGGAUUUGACCUCAAAUCCGUUUCUUCUGCACAAUAAGGAACUAAAUCAGUAACAUUGAAGCUUGAACUAACGUUAUACUUACCUUGGAGAUCCAGUUGAUAGGCAUUGUUGUUGAUCUUCCUGAUGACUUUGAAAGGACCAUCCAAUCUAGGCAUAAGUUUAGAUUUUCUUUCAUUAGGAAAUCUGUCCUUCCUCAGGUGUAUCCAAACUAAGUCUCCUUCUUCAAAGAUCAUCUCCUUUCUUCCUUUGUUAGCAUACUCAGCAUACAACUUGGUCUUGUUUUCUAUAUUGAUCCGUGCCUUCUCAUGUAUCUGCUUAACAAGUUCAGCUUUCUUUUGUCCAUCCAAGCUAACUCUUUCACUCAAAGGUAAAGGCAUUAGAUCCAAAGGUGUUAAAGGAUUGAAACCAUAGACAAUUUCAAAUGGAGAGAACUUAGUUGCAGAAUGCUUAGCAUGAUUAUAAGCAAAUUCUACAUGUGGCAAACAUUCUUCCCAAGUUCUAAGGUUCUUUUUAAUCAAUGCACGCAACAAGGUAGACAAUGUUCUAUUGACAACUUCAGUUUGUCCAUCAGACUGCGGAUGACAGGUAGUAGAGAAACACAGUUUAGUUCCUAAUUUAGACCACAAGGUUUUCCAAAAAAAGCUAAGAAACUUAGUGUCUCUAUCAGAAACAAUUGUCCUAGGCAUUCCAUGAAGUCUAACAAUUUCCUUAAAGAACAGAUUAGCAACAUUCACAGCAUCAUCCGUCUUAUGACAUGGAAUAAAGUGAGCCAUUUUAGAGAACCUAUCAAUGACUACAAACACAGAAUCUCUUCCAGUUUUCGUUCUAGGUAACCCAACAACAAAAUCCAUUGAAAUGUCAUGCCAUGGAUGCAAAGGAAUGGGUAAAGGAGUAUACAGACCGUGGUUCUGGACUUUGGACUUAGCCUGUUUGCAAGUGACACACCUUUCGCAAGAUUUUUCUACAUCUCUCCUCAUAUGUGGCCAAUAGAAGUGCUCUUGCAUUACAUUCAGUGUUUUAGCCACGCCAAAGUGUCCUCCACGUCCACCUGCAUGAGCUUCCUUGACAAACAAAUCUCUCAAAGAGGAGUUAGGCACACAUAGUCUAUUUUCAAAGAAGAGAAAACCAUCACUCUUGAAGUAUUUACCACGACCAAACUUCUCACAAGAAGCAUAUAUUUCCUUAAAAUCAGAAUCAGUGGCAUAUAAAGUUUUGAUAUGUUCAAAUCCAAGUAGUUUGGUUUCAAGAGUGUUUAAGAGAACAUACCUUCGAGAUAGUGCAUCAGCAACUAUAUUUUCCUUACCUUUCUUGUACUUGAUCACAUAAGGAAAGGUUUCUAUGAAUUCAAUCCAUCUAGCAUGUCUCUUGUUCAGUUUUUGUUGUCCUUUGAGAUGUUUGAGAGACUCAUGAUCAGUGUGGAUGACGAACUCCUUUGGCCAGAGAUAGUGUUGCCAAGUUUGCAAAGCCCUCACAAGCGCAUAGAGCUCUUUGUCAUACGUUGGAUAGUUCAGAGUAGCCCCUCCAAGCUUUUCACUAAAGAAAGCUAUAGGUUUCUUCUCCUGCAUAAGCACAGUACCUACACCAACACCAGAUGUAUCACAUUCUAUUUCAAAUGUUUUAGAAAAAUCAGGGAGAGAAAGAACUGGUGAAUUGGUGAGUUUCUCUUUUAAGGCUUGGAAUGCUUCUUCUUGUGCUUGUUCCCACUUGAACCCCACGUUUUUCUUGAUUACUUCAGUCAGUGGUGCAGCCAAAGUACUAAAAUCUUUGACAAAUUUUCUGUAGAAACCGGCUAGACCAUGAAAGCUUCUCACUUCACCAACUGUCUUUGGGCUUGGCCAUUCUUUGAUUGCUUUAAUCUUUUCUUUAUCAACCUGGAUACCUUCUGCACUCACAACAAAACCUAAAAAGACAAGGUUAUCUGCUCCAAAAGUACAUUUCUUUAGAUUAGCAAACAAGGAUUCUUUUCUAAGUACUUCUAGAACCUUUCUAAGAUGCUCAAUAUGUUCAUCCAAGUUCUUACUGUAGAUCAGAAUGUCAUCAAAGUAAACCACAACGAAAUGACCUAUAAAUGAUCUAAGAACAUGGUUCAUUAGUCUCAUGAAAGUACUAGGUGCAUUCGUCAGCCGAAAUGGCAUCACUAACCAUUCAUAUAACCCUUGUUUUGUUUUAAAAGCGGUUUUCCACUCAUCACCCUCUUUCAUUCUAAUCUGGUGAUACCCACUUUCCAAAUCAACCUUAGAAAAGAUGCUAGAACCAUGCAAUUCAUCAAUCAUAUCAUCUAAUCUAGGGAUGGGGUGUCGAUACUUUACAGUGAUAUUGUUGAUGGCUCUGCAAUCGACACACAUUCUCCAACUACCAUCUUUCUUUGGUACAAGCAAGACUGGAACUGCACAUGGGCUCAUGCUUUCACGGAUAUGACCUUUCUCCAUAAGCUCAGUGACUUGUUGUUGUAGUUCCUUGGUCUCCACAGGGUUGGUUCUAUAGGCUGGCUUGUUUGGAAGUGAAGCUCCUGGAAUAAAAUCGAUUUGAUGCUCUAUUCCUCUGAUAGGUGGUAAUCCUUGUGGAGCUUCUUCUGGAAAAACAUCUUUGAAUUCCUGCAAAAGCAUCUGUAUUUUGCUAGGAAGAUCCUGCACUGGCUUUGUUAUGUUUAGGCAUUCUUUAAAAACAAAUAGCAAGUGAGGUAAAGAACUUCCCUUUGGUUGAAGCAACAGAUUGGCAGGUUGUUUUGUCUUUGGUUCUGAUGAAGCUUUAUUUUUCUUCAAAGCUAUCUGAUCAAGAUGGACUUCUUGCGGUGUUAAAGGAACUAAGACAGUCUUCUUUCCCUUGUACUCAAACGAGUAUCUGUUUGUGAACCCAUCAUGAAGAGUUCUUCUAUCGGAUUGCCAAGGCCUUCCAAGCAGUAUGUGUCCCGCAUCCAUUGGUAAGACAUCACACAAUAUCUCAUCCUCAUACUUCCCAAUAGACAAUGGUAUCUUGACUUGGUGUUUCACCUUCAGCUCUCCUUCAUCAUUAAGCCACUGUAACUUGUAAGUUGUUGGCCUUUUCAUGAUCUUCAGACCAAGUUUCUCAACCAUGGUUUCACUUGCAGCGUUGGUACAGCUUCCUCCAUCUAUAACCAAACUGCACACCUUGCCUUGAACCAUACAGCGAGUAUGAAACAGAUUCUCUCUUUGCUCAUCUCCAACAAUCUUGGCUUGCAGAUUCAGUGUUCUUCUUGCGACAAGUAACUCUCCACGAGCUGGCAUCUCCACUCUUUCUUCUUCAGACUCAGAUUGUUCCUCUUCCUCUGAUUCAAUCUCCCCAUUAUCUCUGAUGAGUAUUACCCUUUUGUUGGAGCAGCUACUGGCAUAGUGUCCAUAACCUUUACACUUGUAGCACUGUAUGUCUCUGGUUUUGGAUGCAGUGGCUACUUCCUUUCCUUUAAUACUUUGUUCCUCCCCUUUAGGCUUGGAGAAUGGUUUGGAUUCUCUGGUCUUUUCGUCCUUCUGGUAGUGUGGCUUGCUUGUUCCAUAGCUAGACUUGUAACUUCUUCUUUUCAACUGCUGUUCAAACAUAAUUGCCUUGUGCAGAAGCUCUUCCAUCUCAACAUAAUGAUGAACUUCAAGUCUGUCCAUGAUGUCUCGGUUUAGACCACCCAUGAAUCUGGCCAUUGUUGCUUCUCUGUCUUCUUGUAUAUCAGCUCUCAGCAUAAGGGUUUCCAUCUCCUUAUAAUAUUCUUCAACUGAUUUACUUCCCUGAGACAGUGUUCUGAGCUUGAAGUGCAGCUCUCUGUGGUAAUGGCUUGGUACAAAUCUCUUCCUCAUAAUCACCUUCAUCUGGUUCCAGGUUUCAACAGGAAAAUCUCCAGCCCUUCUUCUUGCUGUAACCAAGUUAUCCCACCAACUUAGCGCAUACUCUUUGAACUCAGUAGGAGCAAGUUUCAUUUUGUACUCUUGUGUGUAGUUUCUACAAUUGAACACAAGUUCAAUCUUCUUUUCCCACUCUAAAUACUCUUCAGGAUCAGCAGUGCCUUUAAACUCAGGAAUCUUCAGUUUCAAACCACCAAGAGGAUCAUUGGUUUGUGGCCUUGCUUCUUGAUUACGUCUCCUUCUCCUGGUGCCAUUGGAUAUGUUGUUAUGACUAUAAUAGCUUUCUGAAGCAGACUGAUUUGGACUCCUCCUAGAUCUCUCACGUUCUGAAUGGGAAACCUCAGUUCUGAAGUUUUCUAGUCUCUGAUCCAUCAAAGUAAUCAUCACAGUAUUCAUGCGUGCAGUCAAAGCAUCAAGUAGUAGUUGAUCCAUUCCAUUGUUCUGACUGCUUUCUUCUCCCAUGGUUCCUGUUGAAUUUCCAAACACAAAACCAGUAAAAGAGAUCACAGAAAUAUAAUAUAACAGAAAGUAAUAGGAUUGAAUCUAGAAUAAUCAGAUUUCUGAAAUUUUUUAUGAAGAACCCUAGUUCUUUUCUCUGUAAUUUCGAAAAUCUACUCAGAUUAUUUAGCAAUUUAAAAACUUUUUCUAGGUAGAUCUGACCCUAAUAAACACGUUUCUAACAAGAUCUAGGUUUUAGAACAGAUCUGAUAACAGAAUAUGAAAAGUCUAAAAGUUGCAGAUCUGGAAAAAAACACAACCUGAUGAUGGAGAUCUGCUCUGAUACCACUUGAAGUGAUCUUUGGUGAGAUGAUCACGUCCCUGAAUGUUCUCCAAUGAUUGUGAUGAUGAAAUAAGCAGUGGAUUGAGUGAUACUUCUAAGAGUUGCGGAAUGACUCUUGGACUAUCAAGGGUUUGCUUGCAAGGUAAGGAUCAAGGAUCCGAAAUACACUUAGAACAAGCUUGAUCAAACAAGAUUCAGAGAGAAUUUUUAUUAGAAAAGAGUUUGAUGAUUUUAUUGAGAGUUUUGAUCAGAAUAUAAAGAGAAGAAGACUGUACAUGCACAGCUUCUUGGAAACACACAAAACAAUUAAAACAAAGACUAAGUUUAAAUUUGAAAAUAAGAAAAGGCUCCUGGUUUCUUCAUGCACGAAAUUAGGGUAGGAAAUGGGCCUGGUUCAGGCUUAGUUUCAUCAAGAGGCUCAUGUAUAAGUGUUGUGUCCAAGCCUCAUUAAAAACCUUGUUUGGAAAACCCAUUGGGACAAAACCAAACUAAGGAAAAGAGUGCAAGUCACAACACCUCUCUUGAUGAUUGUCUUAGAUGGCUUGAAUCACAACCAGAGUGGUUGGAUAAGCACACUCUAGACUGCCAUGGAUAGUGUGAAGUAGUUGAUGAAGAGCUUGUCGAAAUCUUGCUUGCUUUGAUCUUGUCAUUGGACCAAUAGGUACUUCUAGGUCUUUCUCAUUUGUUUCUUCAGGUUCAAGCAGAUCCCUGGUUCUUUCUUCAACUUCCUUAAGCUCUGGUUCAAGCUGAUUCAUCUCUUCAGUUCCAUUGCUAGCCAAGAUCACAUCACAAAGUAUUGAAGCCUUUUACGGUUUCAGAAAGCCAGUUUUGUUCUAAAAAUUUCUACGAGAAAUCUUCAAUCACCAAAGCAUUUUUUUCAGUUUCCGUUGUACUAAGUAAGUCACGUAAAAGCAUCGAAAACAUUUGCAACGAAGAAAACUCGAGAAUAUAUGUAGCAUCGUGCACAUUAAAAGGAGCACUUUCCUCCCGAUGGUUAGCUAGAUCCACCUCUGGUUGACCAAUUCGUUCAAGAAACGAAUGUGUCAUGAGAAUCCUCUCGAAAAACCUAUGAAAAACGUUCCGCGACUAGAUCGUAUUGAAAUAAACUUCGGUAAUACUCCAUGAGUAACUCCAAGCAACUUUCACCUAAGAUCAAAAUCACAGCGGGAACGUUUCUCGUAAAACCCGCAGAAACAAUGCUACUUUGACAUAUGUGUACAUAUCACUGAUUUACGACCUUUGUAAAAUCGGUUAUAUGAUAUGAUAAAUUAUCGUAUAGCCCACAGUCGGAAAUCAUAUGAUAAAUUCUUCGUAACGAAACAAAGUCCUAACAACCAAACGGUUAACGAAAAAUCUAAACUUUUCGAAAAUUGAUCAAGUUCAAUACGCUCCACAAUUCACUUUAAGCCCGCAACGUUUUAACCAUAAUACGCGGCAUGCAAGGAAAAAUUCGUAACACAGCUUCUAGAGCUAUACGAAACAUCCUAAAAAAUGCACGAAAUACAUCUCGGAAGGCCAACACUUCACAAAGCACUAUGAAGGAAAACGCUUGUUCCCAUGGACAAAUUUACACGACACCUCAGUCAUAAUUCCUCGAUCGCAAAUAAAACUAUUAGCAUCCAAACAUGAACAACAAUUUUGGCUGCAAACAUUCAUAGCCAAACUAGAAUGUUUUUCAAACAAAUGGCUAAGACUAAACCCUUGCAACAUCGCAAAAUAUCUUCAAGCCCGCGAACAUUUUAAGCACGAAA